UGAGGAACAUGACCUUCGGCGGGGGAUAGCCGGCCCAACGGCCGGGUAAUACCGCGUACGACCACAUGGGGACAUCCCUGAGUGGUGAAAGCAGCAAUGCGCCGAUGGAGUGCCUCGCGGCCUAUCAGCUAGUUGGUGAGGUAACGGCUCACCAAGGCGACGACGGGUAGCCGGCCUGAGAGGGCGAUCGGCCACACUGGGACUGAGACACGGCCCAGACUCCGUACGGGAGCAG
rnacentral:rRNA from 1 species